AACCUGAGACUUUUUUCACUCACAAAACCUGCUCUGCACAUUCACAGAUAGUGAAUCAACAGUACUGAUGCAAUCUCAGGGUGUAGAAGAGUCUACUGAGUAUAAAUACUGGGAACAUGCAACAAUAACAAAAGAACGAACACCACGAUUAUCAUCAACUCCAAUAAAUGUCUAAAUAUGGCAUUUCUGAAAAUCUGUAUGACAGCUUGAAACAAACAAAACUUAAUCCUGAAGAAAGAUGGCUUCUAACAGAAAUGUCAUUAAAAACUGUGGAUCAGGAUCAGCUCAGAGGGACUCAAGCCAGUUUGGAGGUUAGUCACAUGACAUAUCCAGAGGUGCCACGCCCUGCCAAGGCCUUGUAAAGCAGCAAAAUUCUUUAAUUUGAUUUUUACCAAGCCAGCCCUACAAGAAAUAGCAAGAUAAAGGGUUCUAAGCAAGAGGCAAUUUAUUUUAUCAAUGCGGAGCUGCUAAUAAUAGAGGGACUUUUUGCUGGUGUACCCUGGGUAGAACUAUUGGGUUCAGUGCUAUCGGGGGAUGACUUACAGCCUCAGCCACCCCUGCAACAUGGUGCCCAGCCCUAGAGGAGAUGAAGGUGUGAGGGCAAACCUGAGGGGAGAGUGGGUCAGCUUCUUGGAGGCAAAAAAGAACACUUCUGUUUUUCUGUACCUCUGCCAUAUGGCCUUCACCACCUGUGGGUGGGGCAGCCAUUGCCCAGGCCUUGGCCUCUGCUUCUACACUCUACUCUAAAUCUACUCUCUAGCAUGUGUACUGUGUAAUGCAAACAGCCCUCAAGAGUUUGGUUUCUGACCAAAGUAGGAUCUUAAGCACCUGCUUGAAGGUAGUGGUGCAAAUGUGGCCCACCCUUGUGAUAGAGUUAGGAGACCACCGUUCUUGCCAUUCUGUUUUAAUAACGUAAAAAUGGAUCGGAGGCUAAACCAAAAAGGAGUUAAAAAGAAAAGAUCAAGCGUCCACUGAGUGCAGCAAAACUACAGCACCACAAAGGCCCACUGAAGCCGGAACCGAAGAUAUGAGUCACGGCCACUGGCCACAACACUCCCGCAUACCACGGAGCUAGCGCAUCGUGGAAAACCAUGUGGGUAAGUUAAGCGAAAAUAUCACAAUGAGUACAUGAAGUUUGGAUUUUUCUGGACUGGGGAUGUUGAGGAUCCUAGACCUCACUGUGUUCUGUGUUAUGAAAUAUUGGCUAAUGAAGCAAUGAAACCAUCGAAACUCAAGCGUCACUUUGAGUCUAAGCACAAAGAUUGUACAGAUAAACCAGUGUCAUUUUUUGAGAGAAAACGUGAUGAGCUUGAGCGACACAUGAGUAAAAACACCUCACAGUUUUUAUGCGAAAAUCCAAAGGCUACUGAGGCAUCAUACAGAGUGUCUCUACUCAUUUGCAAAAACGGGAAAACCCCAUUCAAUUGGAGAGACUCUAGUUAAGCCUGCUGCAGAAGUUAUGGCAAACGUAAUGUUAGGGAAGAAAGCUAGUGGUGACAUGCACAAAGUACCUCUGUCCAAUGACACUGUCCAGUGACGCAUAACUACAC